rnacentral:rRNA from 1 species
AACGUAGGUACCGAGCGUUAUCCGGAUUUACUGGGCGUAAAGCGCGUUCAGGCGGUUUGGCAAGUCGGGCAUGAAAUCUCUCGGCUCAACCGGGAGAGGUUGUCCGAUACUGCUGGACUUGAGGGCAGUAGAGGGUGGUGGAAUUCCGGGUGUAGUGGUGAAAUGCGCAGAUAUCAGGAGGAACACCGAUGGCGAAGGCAGGUCUCUGGGCCACUACUGACGCUGAGAAGCGAAAGCAUGGGGAGCGAACAGG